GGGCGCGUAGCUCAGGUGGUUAGAGCGCACGCCUGAUAAGCGUGAGGUCGUAAAAUGGGAGUUAACGGGAUCG
rnacentral:tRNA from 1 species